rnacentral:rRNA from 10 species
ACGGGUGCGUAACGCGUGGGAAUCUGCCCUUGGGUUCGGAAUAACAUCGGGAAACUGAUGCUAAUACCGGAUGAUGACGAAAGUCCAAAGAUUUAUCGCCCAGGGAUGAGCCCGCGUAGGAUUAGCUAGUUGGUGAGGUAAAGGCUCACCAAGGCGACGAUCCUUAGCUGGUCUGAGAGGAUGAUCAGCCACACUGGGACUGAGACACGGCCCAGACUCCUACGGGAGGCAGCAGUAGGGAAUAUUGGACAAUGGGGGCAACCCUGAUCCAGCAAUGCCGCGUGAGUGAUGAAGGCCUUAGGGUUGUAAAGCUCUUUUACCCGGGAUGAUAAUGACAGUACCGGGAGAAUAAGCCCCGGCUAACUCCGUGCCAGCAGCCGCGGUAAUACGGAGGGGGCUAGCGUUGUUCGGAAUUACUGGGCGUAAAGCGCACGUAGGCGGCGAUUUAAGUCAGAGGUGAAAGCCCGGGGCUCAACCCCGGAAUAGCCUUUGAGACUGGAUUGCUUGAAUCUUGGAGAGGCGGGUGGAAUUCCGAGUGUAGAGGUGAAAUUCGUAGA